AUGCCAAUCUCUCUUCUUAUCUAAUUUAAGGAGGCACUAAACCAUCUCCAUGCUAAAUACCAAUGCCUAGGGUUUAGGGAUAGAGCCUUGGGAUUUGAGGACUUUAUGAGAUAGAGUUCUGCCCCCAUCCUUUUGCGUGGUCCCUUAGGCAUGAUCUCAAGGGGAGAGUCCUUCUACAUGUUAAUAUGUUUAUAGAUAAAGUCUCAAAAAGCAUG
rnacentral:lncRNA from 1 species